rnacentral:rRNA from 1 species
GACGAACGCUGGCGGCGUGCUUAACACAUGCAAGUCGAACGAAGAGCGAUGGAAGCUUGCUUCUAUCAAUCUUAGUGGCGAACGGGUGAGUAACGCGUAAUCAACCUGCCCUUCAGAGGGGGACAACAGUUGGAAACGACUGCUAAUACCGCAUACGAUCUAAUCUCGGCAUCGAGGAUAGAUGAAAGGUGGCCUCUACAUGUAAGCUAUCACUGAAGGAGGGGAUUGCGUCUGAUUAGCUAGUUGGAGGGGUAACGGCCCACCAAGGCGAUGAUCAGUAGCCGGUCUGAGAGGAUGAACGGCCACAUUGGGACUGAGACACGGCCCAGACUCCUACGGGAGGCAGCAGUGGGGAAUCUUACGCAAUGGACGAAAGUCUGACGGAGCAACGCCGCGUGAGUGAUGACGGCCUUCGGGUUGUAAAGCUCGGUUAAUCGGGACGAAAGGCCUUCUUGCGAAUAGUGAGAAGGAUUGACGGUACCGGAAUAGAAAGCCACGGCUAACUACGUG